GGGGAAUCUUCCGCAAUGGACGAAAGUCUGACGGAGCAACGCCGCGUGAGUGAUGACGGCCUUCGGGUUGUAAAGCUCUGUUAAUCGGGACGAAUGGUUCUUGUGCGAAUAGUGCGAGGAUUUGACGGUACCGGAAUAGAAAGCCACGGCUAACUACGUGCCAGCAGCCGCGGUAAUACGUAGGUGGCAAGCGUUGUCCGGAAUUAUUGGGCGUAAAGCGCGCGCAGGCGGAUUGGUCAGUCUGUCUUAAAAGUUCGGGGCUUAACCCCGUGAUGGGAUGGAAACUGCCAAUCUAGAGUAUCGGAGAGGAAAGUGGAAUUCCUAGUGUAGCGGUGAAAUGCGUAGAUAUUAGGAAGAACACCAGUGGCGAAGGCGACUUUCUGGACGAAAACUGACGCUGAGGCGCGAAAGCCAGGGGAGCGAACGGGAUUAGAUACCCCGGUAGUCCUGGCCGUAAACGAUGGGUACUAGGUGUAGGAGGUAUCGACCCCUUCUGAAAAGGAGUUAACGCAAUAAGUACCCCGCCUGGGGAGUACGACCGCAAGGUUG
rnacentral:rRNA from 1 species